rnacentral:rRNA from 1 species
UCAGACGAUGCGUCAUGCAUAUCAAUAAGCGGAGGAAAAGAAACUAACAAGGAUUCCCCUAGUAACGGCGAGUGAAGCGGGAAGAGCUCAAAUUUGAAAUCUUAAAGGGUUUCCCUUUACGAAUUGUAGUUUAAAGAAGUGUUUUCUGUUGAGGUUUUGGUAAAAGUUCUUUGGAAUAGGACAUCAUAGAGGGUGAGAAUCCCGUAUUUGACCUUUACUUUCAACUUUGUGAUACACUUUCAAAGAGUCGGAUUGUUUGGGAAUGCAGUCCAAAAUGGGUGGUAAAUUUCAUCUAAAGCUAAAUAUUGGCGAGAGACCGAUAGCGAACAAGUACCGUGAGGGAAGGAUGAAAAGAACUUUGAAAAGAGAGUUAAACAGUACGUGAAAUUGUCAAAAGGGAAGCGUUUGACACCAGUGUUGUUUUUCUGAAAAUCAAUUAAAGAACUGUUUAUGCUAAGCUGUUUAGACUUUAUCAGCUAUCUGUUUAGUUUUGAGCUUUUCUUUAAUGCACUUUUCAGUUAACAAGUCAACAUCAAUUUCUUUUGCUGUAAAAAAGCUUGAGGAAGGUGGCUUGAGAUUCGUCUUAAGUGUUUAUAGCCUCUUGCCUAUGCAGUCGGAGAGAUUGAGGUCUGCAGCGUAGAUCCUUCGGGGCUAAAUGCAUUUGUGCUAAGUUAUAGCAUUUUAUAGACAACUUGUUGACUAUGAUUUGUCUUGUAGCUUACUCGCUUAUGUUAUUUUACCUACGCUUAGGAUGUUGAGCGCAUGUCUCUCUCU